UACGGAGGGGCUAGCGUUGUUCGGAAUUACUGGCGUAAAGCGCACGUAGGCGGACUGUUAAGUCGGGGGUGAAAUCCUGGGGCUCAACCUCAGAAUUGCCUCCGAUACUGGCAGUCUCGAGUGCGGGAGAGGUGAGUGGAAUUCCCAGUGUAGAGGUGAAAUUCGUAGAUAUUGGGAAGAACACCAGUGGCGAAGGCGGAGCUCACU
rnacentral:rRNA from 1 species